UACGUAGGGGGCUAGCGUUGUCCGGAAUCAUUGGGCGUAAAGAGCGUGUAGGCGGCCCGGUAAGUCCGCUGUAAAAGUCAAAGGCUCAACCUUUGAAUGUCAGUGGAUACUGCCGGGCUAGAGUCCGGAAGAGGCGAGUGGAACUCCUGGUGUAGCGGUGAAAUGCGCAGAUAUCAGGAGGAACACCAAUGGCGAAGGCAGCUCGCUGGGACGGUACUGACGCUGAGACGCGAAAGCGUGGGGAGCAAACAGG
rnacentral:rRNA from 1 species